rnacentral:tRNA from 4 species
CGGGGUGUAGCGCAGUUGGUAGCGCGCCUGCUUUGGGAGCAGGAUGCCGUGGGUUCGAAUCCCGCCACUCCGACCA